GACGAACGCUGGCGGCGUGCUUAACACAUGCAAGUCGAACGGAAAGGCCCCUUUUGGGGUACUCGAGUGGCGAACGGGUGAGUAACACGUGAGUAACCUGCCCUUGACUUCGGGAUAACUUCAGGAAACUGGGGCUAAUACCGGAUAGGAAUCCUUGCUGCAUGGUGGGGGUUGGAAAGCUUCGGCGGUUUUGGAUGGACUCGCGGCUUAUCAGCUUGUUGGUGGGGUAGUGGCUUACCAAGGCUUUGACGGGUAGCCGGCCUGAGAGGGCGACCGGCCACAUUGGGACUGAGAUACGGCCCAGAAUCCUACGGGAGGCAGCAGUGGGGAAUAUUGCACAAUGGGCGGAAGCCUGAUGCAGCAACGCCGCGGGCGGGAUGACGGCCUUCGGGUUGGAAACCGCUUUCAGCAGGGGCGAAGCUUGUGGUGACGGUACCUGCAGAAGAAGCACCGGCUAACUACGUG
rnacentral:rRNA from 1 species